rnacentral:tRNA from 1 species
GGCCCUGAAGUGAAGAUCAUGUCAGAUUGCAAAUCUGGAGAAGCGGCUAAUUCCCGCCGGGGCUU